rnacentral:rRNA from 1 species
CAAUAGCGUAUAUUAAAGUUGUUGCAGUUAAAAAGCUCGUAGUUGGAUUUCUGGUAGGAGUGACCGUUCCGAACUUGAUUGUUCGUGUAUUGUGUUUUCUCCAGCCAUCCUUGUGGAGAACUUUUCUUGCAUUAAUUUGUAGGGAUUGGGACCCGCAUCGUUUACUGUGGAAAAAUUAGAGUGUUUAAAGCAGGCAAUCGCUUGAAUACAUUAGCAUGGAAUAAUAAGAUAGGACUUUGGUACUAUUUUGUUGGUUUGCAUACCAAAUUAAUGAUCAACAGGAACAGUUUGAGGAUAUUCGUAUGAACAUGUCAGAGGUGAAAUUCUUGGAUUUUGAUCAGACGAACUACUGCGAAAGCAUUUAUCAAGGAUGUUUUCAUUAA